AAGAGCCAACCGUAUCCUGGGCUGCAUCAAAGGAAGAGUGGCCAGCAGGGAGAGGGAGGUGAUCCUGCCCCUCUGCUCUGCCUGCCCUGAGGUGAGACCUCACCUGGAGUACCGCGUCCAGAUGUGGAGUCCUCAGUACGGGAGAGACAUGGAGCUGUUGGAGUGCAUCCGGAGGAGGGCCACAGAAAUGACCCAAGGGGUGGAACACCUCUCCUAUGAGGACAGGCUGAGGGAGUUGGGCCUGGAGAAGAGAAGGCUCCGAGAUGACCUAAUAGCAGCUCCGGUGCUUUGUUUGAAAUCAUCCCUGCAGGGCCCAGUGCUUCAGAUUACAGCUGGCAGUGAGAUACAGCAGUGUUCAGGGGCUCCUGGCCCCGCAGCACCACAGGCACCCCACAGGGUUGCACCUCUGUCACAAGAAGGACAAGUGGCACGAGGACUAGCAAAAGGGCUGGCAUCAGCAGUGAAAAUGAGCACAUAUACCAGGCGGUAGGAGGG
rnacentral:lncRNA from 1 species